GACGAACGCUGGCGGCGUGCUUAACACAUGCAAGUCGAACGGAAAGGCCCUGCUUUUGUGGGGUGCUCGAGUGGCGAACGGGUGAGUAACACGUGAGUAACCUGCCCUUGACUUUGGGAUAACUUCAGGAAACUGGGGCUAAUACCGGAUAGGAGCUCCUGCUGCAUGGUGGGGGUUGGAAAGUUUCGGCGGUUGGGGAUGGACUCGCGGCUUAUCAGCUUGUUGGUGGGGUAGUGGCUUACCAAGGCUUUGACGGGUAGCCGGCCUGACAGGGUGACCGGCCACAUUGGGACUGAGAUACGGCCCAGGCUCCUACGGGAGGCAGCAGUGGGGAAUAUUGCACAAUGGGCGGAAGCCUGAUGCAGCAACGCCGCGUGCGGGAUGACGGCCUUCGGGUUGUAAACCGCUUUCGCCUGUGACGAAGCGUGAGUGACGGUAAUGGGUAAAGAAGCACCGGCUAACUACGUG
rnacentral:rRNA from 1 species